AGGAAAUCCGUGUUCCGCAACUAUGUUAAAUGCCAUGUACGUAAAUUUUACAACGCUACUCGUUCGAAGCGCGCACAGGUGCAUAUUGAAGAAAAGUUUCCAGGGUAGAUAAUUUAGUUCGUAAUUUACACUAAUUUUGCUCUAACCACGAGACAUAAUAAUUUGAAUAUACUGCACGGAAGAACCUAGAGCGAAUUAAAUUGUGUGUCAGCUUCGUGUGUAUACAUAUAGUCUUUCCUAUGCAUUAGGUUUUUUGCGUAAUGCAUUAACAGUUGACAGCCUAUCUUAUGAUGUGUACUCUGUUUACAUUACAGUUGUUUAUUAGUUUACUCGUUUGUUUUGCGACUGAUGAAAUGCCGGCAUAUAUAUAUUUUCAACAUUUGACAUAACCCUGUAUGUUUUGCAGGGACAACCCAGGAUGUGCAUUUCUCAGCACCCAGUCAACUGCCAAAAGUGACUCAAACACAGGCCACCAGAGACAAUGCCUACGAAAUUAUUGGCCCUGAUCAUGAGAGCCCUCAAGGGGCAAACAACAUCUCUGUUGCAGAAGUGAGCCCGAUACCAUUUGGAAGUUACCAUGACAGAUGACACGGCAGCAAUAGAUACAGAGACUGCCAUGUCUACUGCAGCUGCAACAGUGUACGAGGCAAGCAGCAGCGCGUCAGCAUCAGCAGCAGUGUCAGAAGGAACCACACCAGGCCUGGUAGAGCAACAUGUGUGCUAUCACUGACUUUUUUUUGUAGUGGAUACAACUCAUUUGCUCAACAUACAAAAGCUUUUCACCACGACUGUGAGCCAGUGUUAUUGUGCAGCAAGUGCAAGACUAAGUUAGGUGUUAUAACACAGUACAAGCAUCACUUUAAUAUAUGCAAAUGCAAACAUAUUACAGUUGUUGCCUCCCCAGCCAGCCCACAUAGUGACAACAAUGUGGAACACAUGGUGGGACACACCUCUCCCCCAUUACAAGAUAGUAGAGACUGUCAGUGUUGUUGCUAGAUUGACUGGUCUUUGUAGGCAACUAGAAGGACAACACAGGUGUCAUAAUAUUGUUGUUGAUGUUGUUGUUGAAGAGGUAAAAAAGAAGUUUGAUGCAGCUGAAGUGCCAACUGAUAUUGAGCAAAUCAAAAGCAACCACCUGAGAAAGCAACACUAUCGAAAUUUGGGUAUCUAUGUGCCGCCAACUCUGGUAAGAAUGGCAUAGGACAGAAGUGUGAUGAAAAUCACACAGACACUGCUGUUGCAUCUCUGGCCACAGUGAGCAGCGACUUGUAGGGCAAGAGAGUCAACUGAAACUAACAUUAUGAUAUAGUGUCAUGCUCCCAUGUGACCACUUUUCAAGUUAUUUUUCAAGAUACAGCUCAACCUCCAGAAACGAGACUGCAACUUGUCUGUAAAAAAGCUUUCACAAAAAAUUAUUCAUAACACUAUUAACAUAGUAUCUUUUUUUUUGUGUCGGUUCGAGGUUCCCGGCUGUCCAUUAAUGCAAAAAUUGAGGAAAAAAAGAACAUGUGUCGUACUUACACCUUUUUAACAAGUACGAGGGGGACAGAACUUUUCUAGUCAUGCAUCUUCAUCAUACUAUCAAGUUUUUAAAUGCCUUUUAUAAUUAUUAUUACCAGUUAUAUCUGAGUGCAUUGUAUGCAUGUAGCAGGUGUAAAAUCAGGUCAGUUGGAUCAGCUGCCUUAUCUGCAAGCGAGCCCUAUAUUCAAGAAAUUUGAAUUAAGAUAGUUACGUUAGAGACGCAGUCUUUCAGCACUUUAUUGCCUGUGGUUUAAGCAUUGCUCAAUACUUUUGUGGGUGGCAAUUUCAACCGGCACAGCACUGCGCUUUGCCACAGUCACAUUUGUCUUCAAAGCGGUGUUUACCAUUUGUGUUGAUCUGUUUGUGUAUGCAUAGAGCAAGUUUUUAAUUUAUAUUUUUCUGCAUUCUUGUGCUUGCACUAAGCUUGUAUAAGGCAGUUACAAAAUGUGCGUCACUAUAACGAACUGUUCUGUUGAGCUUACACUUGCAAAUAAUCGUGUUCAGAUGGCCGCACUUCUAUGCGGGUGCACCGCUAGCUUUGUGUAUGUUCUCAUGUUUGUAUAAAGCUUAUAUAAGCUAGUUAGAAAAUGUAUGUCACUAAGCAUUGUGAUAUUCUUUAAAGAACUGCUUGGUUGGUUUUACACUUGUGAAUUAGUAUUGAGGCGGUGGUAUUCCCAUGUAUGCCACUGCUAGCUUUCUGUGUCCUCACGUGUUUGUAUUAAGUUUCUACAAGGGAGUUACAGCAUGUACGUC
rnacentral:misc_RNA from 1 species